UACAGAGGCCACAAGCGUUAGACGGAAUCACUGGGCUUAAAGCGUGUGUAGGCGGGAUGGUAAGUACCUUGUGAAAUCCCACAGCUUAACUGUGGAAAUGCUUGGUAUACUGCCGUUCUUGAGUCACCUAGGGGCAGCUGGAACAGAUGGUGGAGCGGUGAAAUGCAUAGAUAUCAUCUGGAACGCCAAUGGUGCAGACAAGCUGCUGGGGGUGUACUGACGCUGAGGCACGAAAGCCCAGGGGGAGCAAACGGG
rnacentral:rRNA from 1 species